ACAACAAAACAUAACAAACCGCAGUCGCGAAUCGCUUGAUAUCGGAAUCGAAAUCAAAAAUAACGAACAAAACUCGAGUUAAACUAACAAAAUAAUAACAUUAUUAAUUAACAAAUUAAUUUAAAUUGUGCGUUUACAAAACGUCAAGAAAAGUGAAUAAUUGCUUGGAAAAAAAACGAAUCAUAAGAAAAACAAACUUCAAGUGCUUUCGCCUUUCGCUCAGAUAGCCACAAUGAUCAAAGACUGUUUAAUUGAUAUAUCAACUGACACAAAUAGAUGAAGUAAAGUGCUUAAAUCAAUCGCAAUUGCAAAGUGUUCAAAAUUCUUAAGCCUAACACCAAAAUUGCCAAUUUAACCGCAUAAGACAUUGAAUAAUUGGCUUUAAAAUCGAUUCUACGAUAUCGCAUUUUAAAUGUUCGACUGGAUUAAAUUUAACAAAGAAGCGUAGACGAAAUACGAAUGCAAAUUAGAUGCAAAAUAAAUGGGUAAAAUGAGGUCAAGUAAAUACGAUGUUACCACAGCUUACGGUCUAUGCCAAGAUUAUUUACCUCCUGAUGGUAAGUAGAAACAGGCUUUAAACAUUAUGGUGCUGAUGACUGGUUGCCCGAUGACACAAUCACUACGCAGUCACCUGGAGUCCUUGACUGUCUGGCCAGUUCAUCAGACGCUUUCAAGUCCAUUCAAUCCGGCAGAUAUUUAGAUAUUUACACCGCAAGCGGGAACUCAAAUAUUGGCAUGGAGUGCCCUUCAGGGCGAAUAUUGACGCGUGUGCAAAUAUUCGAUAAUACUAUCAAAUGUUGUAUCAAGUUAUAUCAUCAUCAUUAUGCCAGAGAGCAACAAACUUGGCCAAACCCAUUUUCCGACAAAAAAAGGGGGGGAGCCCAACGAAACUAUGCCAAUUAUUUUAUCAAAGGGAAUUUCCCUGCGAAUCAGGGCACACCAUCGAUUGUUUGCCGUUAUCAGCUGCGAUUGGGCAAAUAUUUGCCAAAAAAAUAAUAAUAAUAAUCAGCCAUCUACAUUGGACGUGUCGAGUGAAUACUUAUAAAAAUGGCAACAACCAAACGCUAAUUAAAUAAUACUGUUCUCCGUUUCUUACACGUUU
rnacentral:sRNA from 1 species